GUAGGGUGCGAGCGUUAAUCGGAAUUACUGGGCGUAAAGCGUGCGCAGGCGGGUUCGCUAAGACCGAUGUGAAAUCCCCGGGGCUUAACCUGGGAACUGCAUUGGUGACUGGCGGGCUAGAGUAUGGCAGAGGGGGGUAGAAUUCCACGUGUAGCAGUGAAAUGCGUAGAGAUGUGGAGGAAUACCGAUGACGAAGGCAGCCCCCUGGGCCAAUACUGACGCUCAUGCACGAAAGCGUGGGGAGCAAACAGGAUUAGAUACCCUGGUAGUCCACGCCCUAAACGAUGUCAACUAGUUGUCGGGUCUUCAUUGACUUGGUAACGUAGCUAACGCGUGAAGUUGACCGCCUGGGGAGUACGGUCGCAAGAUUA
rnacentral:rRNA from 1 species